AAAUAAAAUUAAUAAAUAUUUACGAAAUGAACUUACAUGAAAAUAGUUUAAUAACCAUCAAAGUUAGUUAAGUAAACGAGAAAUAUAUUAUUAUAGGUUUAGUGUAUGUAGAUAUCACAAUGAUUCACAGUUUGUUUAUCAUCAACGCUUCAAUGCCCUUGUUGGUUUGUUAGUUUACACCGAUCAUUUAUGCAGUUUAGGAACUUGUGUUUGAUUGCUGUGGAUGGCAGACGUUUGUGGCUGUUCAAAAGACAUCAGGCCAUGGAAAAA